CAACUGACCCAGUACGCAUCAGAGCUUUCCAUCCUUGGCAGUGUGAAUCAUCAGGGCAUCAGAACUAACCCAAUUCCCACUGGACGGAAGAAGGCCAUGCUCUUCAGGCGUGGAUCACAGACACUGGGACGAAGUGGAGAGGCGAUGUAGAGCCAACAAGGGACAACCACAGCCUGGAUAAAGAUGGCUUGUUGUGGAAAGAAGUUCCUGAGGUCAACUGUUCCAAGCUGGCUGACUACCACCUACCAGGAAUCGCAGAACAAGGGAAUUACACAGCCAAGAUGAGGUGGCACAUCGUAGUACGGCACCUUUCUAAAGUGUCUGCAUUGUGACAAAGAAUAAAAAAUAUAGAAGGUGAUAAUGUAAAAAAUGGAAAGAACUGGAAAAGAUGCUUGCCAGAGGUGCUGAGAGGGUUUCACAGGGCUGGCCCCUCCUGCAGGAUGGAAGACUACAUCAUGUGGAGAAGAGGAGUCAUUCCCCAGAGCAGCUGCCAGAAGCCACAGCUUGCCAUGGCUUGGGGCCACUGCCAGCAUUCCACAAGGUGACAGACUUUGAGGCUGAGGGAUGUUCUGCUGCAAGAUAUUGAAGACUUUGUCUACACACAUAUCAUACUUAGGAUUGUCCUUUCAGUUCACCUCUUUAAAGAGAGAGAAGUCUUACUCUUUGAUUCCUUGAGACUGUCUGCAUAGAAAAUUACGUUGCCUCGUCCUCCACAGUAACUGCCAGGAAUCCCGUUGCCUGGAGACCACUCUUGAAGAACAUCCACUGCCGUGGCCUCUUGGAGAUUUAAGGCAUCUAAUAAGAAGCUGUCAGAAAUCAUCAGCUCGCUCCUGAGAAAGUAGCAUUUUUUAAAAAGUCACAAUAAAGCACUUAUCUGGAUAUUACGUAUUGCAGUUAAUACAGUUCCUUCUGGUCACUGGAAUUCUUUAGAAUGAAGCAGUUGUAUGAAAUGGAAGAAGAUGGCAUAUUGAAGAGAGGAGGUCCCGUUUCUUCCAUUUCUACCAGAAGAGCAUCCCAGUUCAUUGUUGAAACCCUCGUGUGAUGGUAUUUGGCGGCGAGGACUUUGGAAAAUAAUUAUGUCAUGAAGAUGGAGCCCUCAUGAUGGAAUUAGUGUCCUUCGAAGAAGGAGAGUACUGUCUGCUCUUCGCUAUGUAAGAACACAGCAAGAAGACAGCCAUCUGUAAGUCAGGAAGAGUUACCUCACUAGACAUACAAUCUGCUGACACCUCGAUCUUGGACUUCGUAUCCUCCAGAACCAUGAGAAAUUGCUGUUGUUUACCCCCCCUACUCUGUGGUAAUUUGUGGUGGCAGCCCAAACUAUAGAUGACACUCACAAGGGCCCUUUGUAAAGAGACAGCUCUUAAUAAUCAGGCUCUGAUAAUUACAGGAGCUAGGACUACAAUGAGCAGCAAUGAGAUAUGGGGCUGCAGGAAGAAAAGCAACAGAUGGAUUUGAUGUAGGAAUAACUAAACUUGGCUUAAUGGACUGGGAGCCUGAAACUUGCCAGUAAGACUUCAGUUGCAGAAGGCUACAUAUUGCAUAAACUUUAUGGUUGACAUUUGCUACCACAAACUUCAGGGAUUUACAGAGGCAAACCCUGCAACUAGGAGAAGGAAUCUGAAAUGUUUCCAGUCAGUGUGUUGCUCCUCAGAGAACAAGGUGGCACAAUAAUUGGGAAUCGGGCAGUUGGCAUGACACAGCCUGUGUUUAGUUCCUGGGUCUGUUAUUUCUCUUGCUCGCUAUUCUUUUCAUCUGUAUGAUGGGAAUAAGACUAGUAUCUAAGUUGAAUUCUGUGGUGAGAUUUAAAUGAGAUAAAUCCAUAGAAAAUGCCUAGCACAGUGCCAGGCACAUAUGAAUUCUCCGUGAAUAUUAUUAGCUCUGACUAUCCUCAUAAGAAUUUUACCUUCAACUCUGAAAUUUUGAAUUAUAAGAUGAAAAAGUAUUCAUUCAUUAUUUAUUCAAUAAAGAUGUAUGCUGUACCUUCAAAAACUAGAU